GCACGUGGACCGCUUCAUCAACUCCAGCACAUGGACGCUUGCAUGCUCCCACUCCAAGGACCAGCACAUGGACCGCGCCUCAGCCCAUGCGCUUCACGCCAAGGGGCCCGGUAAAUGCAUUCCCACACAUUGGACCGAGCUCACGCGCACCUGAUCAAAUCCCACACGUGGCCAGCAAUUCCAAAAUAGGGCUCCUCUGCACUUAUUUAAAGGCUCUUCAGCGACAGACAGAAUUCCAAUUAUCAUUCGGCAAUUUCCGCAGCCCGGCGCAAGGAGCUCUCCACCUCUCCGUCUUCGGUUCUUUUCUUUUGUCCUUAUUUUAUUUUCUGUUUUUUAAUUCAGCCAUGAGUGGCUGAAUUCUUUUAAUCUAGUUGGAUAAUUGGUUGAAGCUUUAGUUGUUUAAUGGGUUGUGAGACUUGAUAAAAUAUUGUUUAACUUUUGGGUGUUUAAUAUUCAUG
rnacentral:lncRNA from 1 species